CAGCAGCCGCGGUAAAACGUAGGUGGCAAGCGUUGUCCGGAAUUAUUGGGCGUAAAGGGCUCACAGGCGGUUUCUUAAGUCUGAUGUGAAAGCCCCCGGCUCAACCGGGGAGGGUCAUUGGAAACUGGGAAACUUGAGUGCAGAAGAGGAGAGUGGAAUUCCACGUGUAGCGGUGAAAUGCGUAGAGAUGUGGAGGAACACCAGUGGCGAAGGCGACUCUCUGGUCUGUAACUGACGCUGAGGAGCGAAAGCGUGGGGAGCGAACAGGAUUAGAUACCCGUGUAGUCCCUGUCUCUUAUAA
rnacentral:rRNA from 1 species